UCACUCCCCAGAACGCGAUGUUAACCUUGGGCUCGCAGCCUCCGGUUCUCCGUCGUUUGUUUUCUCUGCUUGGAGCGUCAGGACGCUGUUGUGUUUAGGGAAGACACUGCUUCCCGGGACGGAUCAUGGCGACCAUGGCACCUUGUGGAUCCUGCGUCUUCCUACUCCCGAGGCCUCAGCGGGACGAGGGAAAGUGAAAAGUCCACACUGAGCUAUGCCGGUCAUCAAAGCACCAGAUUCUCCUGGCCGAGAUGGGGAAGUGACCCCAUGAGAGCCAAUGAAGAAUAACGAGGAUUUUGCUGGGAAUGCUGGACAAAAUACGCUCAUUGUUCCCUCGAGUCUGUACCUGUGGGAACGGUCUGGACCCGCUGCAGCCAUCCCGUGACAAAGAAGACAGCCGUGCUAGAACAUGGAUACGCACUUAGAGACCAGACUGGGAUGCUUGAUCAAGCCAGACCUGAAGCUUAAGCCGUGUGAACGCAUACAUGCCCUUGAAGUUAA